AUUCUCUGGUCUGAUGAAACCAAGAUUGAACUCUUUGGCCUGAAUGCCAAACAUCACGUCUGGAGGAAACCUGGCACCAUCCCUACGCAGCAGGCGGGUCCGAGUCUGCUGAUCAGUGUGAUCAAAGACCUCGUGGAAGACCUCAAUCUGAUAGGACACAGCUUCCUGGACUUGCUCAGCUGACCCACCCUGCCCUUUUCACUGUCCGUCUGAGCUGGAUUCAAAUAGUAUUUGCUUUCUUUCAAAUACUUUGAGCAUUUGAUUGAUCCGGUCUGAUGCACGGUUGCACAUUAUGGGACUAUUGGACGGCAGGUGAAGUAUUUUAAAAUGAAAGGGAUGUUUAUUUAAACCAGGUCUGAUGCUGAUAACCAUUAUUAAAGGGACAUGCCACUUUGUUGGCAACACAUCUCUCUCUUUCUGUGUUUCGCACUCAAAGCUCCCAUCCAUCUGAACUAAGAUGUGACUGUUUUGAGUUGUUCAAUAUGUUGGGUGAUAUUCAAC
ensembl:lncRNA